UACGUAGGGGGCUAGCGUUGUCCGGAAUCAUUGGGCGUAAAGCGCGUGUAGGCGGUUCGGUAAGUCCGCUGUGAAAGUCGGGGGCUCAACCCUCGGAUGCCGGUGGAUACUGUCGGACUAGAGUACGGAAGAGGCGAGUGGAAUUCCUGGUGUAGCGGUGGAAUGCGCAGAUAUCAGGAGGAACACCGGUGGCGAAGGCGGCUUCCUGGACCGACACUGACGCUGAGGCGCGAAAGCCAGGGGAGCAAACGGG
rnacentral:rRNA from 1 species